ensembl:lncRNA
GUCUUGGCUAGUUGAUGCUGGAGCGCGGAGCAGCGAGUCUGUCAGUCCCGCUCUGCAGCAGCUCAGAGCGGCCGCUCAUCAACAUCCUCUCGGCGUUCGCGGAGCCGGAACGCGGUGGGACUCCGAGCCCACGGAGAGCGACACCGCUGCAGCCUCGCCCCCCGUGGGGGGAACACCUCCGUGGACAUGAGGACAUCUGCUGCAGCGACUUGUUCCAGAGGGCGGAGCGGGAAGCCCGGGCGCUGUGGCUUUUCUCCCAGCGAGUGGUGAUGCGGCAGCGGAGCGCCUCCGUCAGAUUCAUCAUGACCUUUUCCAUCACCGAGGGAUCUCAGAGCCUUUUUCUAUCUGGAUUUACCGUCACAGGGAUGAGAUAAUAGUCAGCCUGUCAGUACAUGUUGCUGCAGAAACCCUUGUGGCUCCCGUGAACUCACCCCGCCCCGAGUUAAGUUCGUUUCAUCGGUGGAACUAUGACAACGCCGACUCUGCUGCCACUGUCGGGCCGCAGGAUACCCACUCUGUCGCCGGGCGCCUCUUCCUUCCCCCACCACAGGGCCACUUUGAGGCUCUCCGAGAAGUUCAUCCUUCUCCUCAUACUCAGUGCCUUCAUCACUUUAUGCUUCGGGGCCUUCUUUUUCCUCCCGGACAACUCUAAACACAAGCGCUUUGACUUGGGCUUGGAGGACGUGCUCAUCCCUCACAUCGACUCGCCGAGGGAGGGGAAGCAUUCUCCGGGACAAAUGGUCAUACACGGACAAGGACGGCACGACGAGAACAGACACCGGUAAGAGACGCUCCAUGUAGAGUUCAUGACGGCAGGUCUGCAUCACCGCUGAUGUCCGCUGUACAGCGGGCUGAGCUCAGGUUGGAUUGCCUUUUGGGUCUCCAAGGAGCAUUUUUAGUUUUUUUUUAAUCUUCCUUUGCUGUUUCUAAUCUACUGCUGCAGACUCAAAUGGAUUUUUCUCCCUUUGCACUUAAAGUGUCAGAAAAGCAGACGGAUGGCAAGUAGAGUAGGACAUUACAGGUAGAGUUUUCCUUCAUGUUUCAGUCCUAUAGCACCUUGUUUACCUGUUCAGUUGGUGUAGUUGGUUGUUAGAAAUUGUGGAAGUUUACCUGUCAGAGAGAUGGCUUUAGGGCACACAGAGGUGUUCAUGCUUUGAGUCUGUGUGAAGUUUCCUCUUUUAUUGCUGAAUAGCUGCGUUUCCGUUCACUAGGAAAAUUGCACAAAUUGAGUUUGUGAUAGUAAUUUUGCCUGAUGAAAACGCAACAUUUUCAGAAAAACUCGCAUUUAUUAAAAAAAAAAGAUUUUGUGCUUGGAGGAGGUGAUUUUUGAGGCAGAACAAAAAUGGACAUUUCCAAAAAACUGCAAUGAAAACAUUAAACUAGAAGGAGACGCAUUUCCAGAACAAACUGCAGGUUGAAGGCUACUUUGCUGAAUGAAAAUGAAACUUAAAGAGGAAUAAUUGGGAAAUAAAUACAUAAAGAAAUGAUCAAAGUUGACCAUAAAUAAAGUGAAAACAUCACAAAAACAAAGAUAUUUUUGUGAAAAUGCCAGCGUCGGGUAUCGAACCAGCGAGCUUCUGCACCAAAGAUUCCCCAUGUAUUUCAAUGGAGGCCAAAGAUCCUGGAAUAUCUUGAAAAGUUUAAGGAUAUGAAAAAAAACAAAAGUCACAGCUGGAAGAAGCUGAAAGAGCUGAACAUUUGAAUAGUUGAAUGAUUGAAAUAGAUGAAAAAUUGUAGGAGUUAAGCGCCAAAAAAUGGAGGAAGAUACUAGAAUAAAAGAAAUGUAGAGAAACAGCAAAACGACGUAGCGAUGAGCUUCUGGGUAGGAUCUG